rnacentral:rRNA from 1 species
AACCUGGUUGAUCCUGCCAGUAGUCAUAUGCUUGUCUCAAAGACUAAGCCAUGCAUGUCUAAGUAUAAAUGGUAUACAGUGAAACUGCGAAUGGCUCAUUAAAACAGUUAUAGUUUAUUUGGUAAUCGAAUUUACAUGGAUAACCGUGGUAAUUCUAGAGCUAAUACAUGCUGUAAAGCCCGACUUUUCGGAAGGGCCGUAUUUAUUAGAUAACAGACCAAUAUUCCUCGUGCCUAUUGUGGUGAAUCAUAGUAACUAAUCGGAUCGCAUGGGCUAGUCCCGCGACAAACCAUUCAAGUUUCUGCCCCAUCAGCUUUCGAUGGUAGUGUAUUGGACUACCAUGGCUUUUACGGGUAACGGAGGAUUAGGGUUCGAUUCCGGAGAGGGAGCCUGAGAAACGGCUACCACAUCUAAGGAAGGCAGCAGGCGCGUAAAUUACCCAAUUCUAAUUCAGAGAGGUAGUGACAAGAAAUAACGGGUCGGGGCCAUGCCCCGGGACUGCAAUGAGAUGAAUUUACACCCCUUUUCGAGUAACAAUUGGAGGGCAAGUCUGGUGCCAGCAGCCGCGGUAAUUCCAGCUCCAAUAGCGUAUAUUAAAGUUGUUGCAGUUAAAAAGCUCGUAGUUGGAUUUCUGACAGGGUGACCUCGCCCGCUUAUUGCGUGCGCGAAGCCGCUCUGUCAUCCUUCUUUUAACCCUUUAGACCUUAAUCAGUUUGUUGGGGGCUAAGAUAUUUUACCUUGAGAAAAUUAGAGUGUUUCAGGCAGGCUAGCGCCGGAAUACAUUAGCAUGGAAUAAUAGA